rnacentral:rRNA from 1 species
GUAGGGAAUAUUGGGUAAUGGAUGCAAGUCUGACCCAGCCAUCCCGCGUGCCGGAAGAAGGCCCUCAGGGUUGUAAACGGCUUUUGACGGUGAAGAAUCGACAGGAUGCGUCCUGUUUUGACGGUAGCCGUUGAAUAAGCACCGGCUAACUCCGUGCCAGCAGCCGCGGUAAUACGGAGGGUGCGAGCGUUGUCCGGAUUUAUUGGGUUUAAAGGGUGCGUAGGCUGGAAGGUCAGUCAGCGGUGAAAAGCUGUCGCUUAACGAUAGUCUUGCCGCAGAUACUUCCUUUCUUGGAUGAGGAGGAGGCCACUGGAACGGAUGGUGUAGCGGUGAAAUGCAUAGAUAUCAUCCAGAACACCGAUUGCGAAGGCAGGUGGCUGUACCUUAAUCGACGCUGAUGCACGAAAGCAUGGGGAGCAAACAGGAUUAGAAACCCCGGUAGUCC